rnacentral:lncRNA from 1 species
AAAAUAUAAUUAUUGCUACUAAUAGUUAUCAAUUACGACAAUUUUUAUUUUUGCGGAAGAAUGACACUGCAACAGAAUUAGGUUAUAGAGACACAUUUUUGGAACAUUUUUGUGUAAGUAUUUCAUUUAUGCCAAAACUUUUAAAAAAAUCUACUAAGACCUAAAUAUAAAGCUCAAUCUAACCAAAAAUAAAAAGUUGCUCUAUUCAACCCACCCCAUCCAGCCCAUUCGGCCCAAUUACAAUCAGAAAAGGAAAAAAAAAAAAAAAAAGAAGAAGAAAAAUCAAUCACCAUCUCCCCUUCUCUCCUGACUCAAUCCACUGAAACUCUAGACGAAGAUCCCUUCGCUCUCCUCCUCCUCUGCCACCGUAGCCAACGAGAUAGAGUUUUGGCGGUUAAAUAAAUAUUGGUAAAUUAGCAGCAUUCUUUUUAGGUUAUACCGACACUCUUAAACUGUCAAUAUAUUACCUAGCGACCCCACAUAUAACAACACUUUUUAAAAGUGACGGUAAUUUAGCCAGCAGCACUUUUUUAACUUAUACCGAUAUUUAAAAGCGUCGUUAUACACCGUUUUUGUUGUAAUGAAAUUAUUAAUGUAAAAGUGAUAUAAAAAUUAAUAUUGUGAUUGAUAAUUCGACAAUAAUUAAAAUAUUAUAUCACUUCUAAAUUAAUAAUUUAUUAAUAUUUCGCAAAGUAUAUUG